rnacentral:rRNA from 1 species
UGGGGAAUUUUGGACAAUGGGCGAAAGCCUGAUCCAGCAAUGCCGCGUGUGUGAAGAAGGCCUUCGGGUUGUAAAGCACUUUUGUCCGGAAAGAAAUCCUUGGCUCUAAUACAGUCGGGGGAUGACGGUACCGGAAGAAUAAGCACCGGCUAACUACGUGCCAGCAGCCGCGGUAAUACGUAGGGUGCAAGCGUUAAUCGGAAUUACUGGGCGUAAAGCGUGCGCAGGCGGUUUGCUAAGACCGAUGUGAAAUCCCCGGGCUCAACCUGGGAACUGCAUUGGUGACUGGCAGGCUAGAGUAUGGCAGAGGGGGGUAGAAUUCCACGUGUAGCAGUGAAAUGCGUAGAGAUGUGGAGGAAUACCGAUGGCGAAGGCAGCCCCCUGGGCCAAGUACUGACGCUCAUGCACGAAAAGCGUGGGGAGCAAACAGGAUUAGAUACCCCUGGUAGUCCACGCCCUAAACGAUGUCAACUAGUUGUUGGGGAUUCAUUUCCUUAGUAACGUAGCUAACGCGUGAAGUUGACCGCCUGGGGGAGUACGGUCGCAAGAUUAAAACUUAAAGAAUUGACGGGGUCAUAGCUGUUUCCU